UACGUAGGGGGCUAGCGUUGUCCGGAUUUAUUGGGCGUAAAGGGCGCGUAGGUGGCCCGGUCAGUUCGUGGUGAAAGCGCGGGGCUCAACCCUGCGUCGGCCAUGAAUACUGCCGCGGCUGGAGCACUGUAGAGGCAGGCGGAAUUCCGGGUGUAGCGGUGGAAUGCGUAGAGAUCCGGAAGAACACCGGUGGCGAAGGCGGCCUGCUGGGCAGUUGCUGACACUGAGGCGCGACAGCGUGGGGAGCAAACAGG
rnacentral:rRNA from 1 species